rnacentral:rRNA from 1 species
AUGUCGUCACGCUCUACCUCCGCCAUCAUCGCCAGAGCGGUGAGCGGGCACCACUUGCUCAAGAUCGACGGCUACUCGCAAACCAAGGUGGUCACCGUUGCUAGCUACAUCCAAUCCUGCACUUUUGAUGUCGGAGGCCACAGCUGGCGUAUCAACUAUUACCCCAACGGCUUCCGCUCAGAUAGUACCGAUUACAUAUCUGUCUUCAUUCAGCUUGUCAGUGUUAGCAGGGACUUGCCGGUCGUGCCAAUCUUGCAGGGCAUCUCAGCACAAGGCUCGCUCAGUUUACUGGACCGGGAUGGGAAACCAGUGCCAUCAUAUACCCACACCUUCAAUAGAAGUUUCAAGACCUCUGAAGGAAGCUGGGGCUGGUACAGUUACAUCACAAGGUCGGCGCUGGAGAACUCAGGUUACCUCAAGGACGAUAACUUCACUCUCAGGUGCGACAUCACCGUCACGGAGCUGCGCGUAGAGGAAACAGAGGAUUGCGAUUUCGCCGAUCUCCUGUGGAAGAAGGAGGGGGCAGAUGUGGCCUUCGAGGUUGAUGGUGAGACACUCACCGCCCAUCGAUGGGUGCUGGCUGCCCGGUCACCGAUCUUGAAGGCAGCAGUGAGAGCAGAACUCCUUGGCGAGCUGGAAAGGGAGAGGAACACGCCCAUAGCCACCGUGAGGAUCGACAACAUGGAGGCAAAAGUGUUCAAGGCUUUGCUCCACUACAUAUACACCGACACAUUGCCUGAUGAGAUGGACAAGGGAGAUGAGGCUGCGACAGCAAUGGCGCACGGAUUGCUUGAAGCGGCGGAUAGGUACAAGGUGGAGAGGCUGAAGCUGAUCUGCGAGGACAUGCUGUGCAAACGUGUCUCCACAGGCACGGCGAUAACCACGCUGGUGUUAGCGGAGCAGCACCACUGCCAGAGACUCAAGAUAACGUGCAUCGACUUCCUCGUGUCUCCCAAGAAUAUGGAAGUCGUCUUGGAAAAUGGUGGUUUCAAGCAUUUACAGAGGAGCUGCCCCUCUGUUCUCAUGGACCUCAUAGAAAGGGCGAAAGUGGCCUGA